GAUGAACGCUGGCGGCGUGCCUAAUACAUGCCAGUCGAGCGAACGGACGAGAAGCUUGCUUCUCUGAUGUUAGCGGCGGACGGGUGAGUAACACGUGGAUAACCUACCUAUAAGACUGGGAUAACUUCGGGAAACCGGAGCUAAUACCGGAUAAUAUUUUGAACCGCAUGGUUCAAAAGUGAAAGACGGUCUUGCUGUCACUUAUAGAUGGAUCCGCGCUGCAUUAGCUAGUUGGUAAGGUAACGGCUUACCAAGGCAACGAUGCAUAGCCGACCUGAGAGGGUGAUCAGCCACACUGGAACUGAGACACGGUCCAGACUCCUACGGGAGGCAGCAGUAGGGAAUCUUGCGCAAUGGGCGAAAGCCUGACGGAGCAACGCCGCGUGAGUGAUGAAGGUCUUCGGAUCGUAAAACUCUGUUAUUAGGGAAGAACAUAUGUGUGAGUAACUGUGCACGUCUUGACGGUACCUAAUCAGAAAGCCACGGCUAACUACGUG
rnacentral:rRNA from 1 species